rnacentral:snRNA from 1 species
UCCCGCUUCUGGGAGAUGU